CAGAGGCAGGCAGGCCUCCUUGAGCUGUGGUGGGCUCCACCCAGUUCGAGCUUCCCAGCUGCUUUGUUUACCUAAUCAAGCCUGGGCAAUGGCGGGCGCCCCUCCCCCAGCCUCGCUGCCGCCUUGCAGUUUGAUCUCAGACUGCUGUGCUAGCAACCAGCGAGACUCCGUGGGCGUAGGACCCUCCACGCCAGGUGCCGGAUAUAAUCUCGGGGAUAUAAUCUCCCGUUUUUUAAGCCGGUCCGAAAAGCACAAUAUUCAGGUGGGAGUGACCCGAUUUUCCAGGUGGACAUUUGUGUUGAUUUCAUAUCUUUGCUAUUGUGAAUACUACUGCAAUUAACAUGCAAGUGCAACCAAUCAAGCUGAUGUCUUCAAUUUAUUCAUGUAUUCAUUCAUUAUUCAUUGAUAUAUAGCCAAUCAAGCAAGCAAGCAAACAAAAAUAUAUGAGUGCCUAUCAUGGACCAAAAUUUUGCUGGCUAAAGACUGAAGAAAUAGAAGAUAAAGUUUAAAUACAGUUCAUUUGUCUUCUUUAUAGACUCACUUUUUGCAGCAGACAAUGUGCUAUGUCUGAAACAGUAAAUUCCAGGGACCUUAGAAGAAAAUAACUGCACCUAACUCAAUUCUAAGUAAUGAGAAACUCUUUGUGUAAUCUGAGGUGAGCAUGAGGAUGCAAGGAGUCAGUCAAGCCAAAGAAAGACAAGAUUGAAUGCUGGAUAUGAAGAAAGCAAGGAGAACCAGGAAAUUCCAGGAUUGUGAAAGAACGCACUAUGGCAUUUGAUAUAGAGAUACCCAUAGCUCUUAUAUCGUUACUGAGAAUUUUGGCCUUCAAGUUCAGUCUGAGCCUAUCAUUGCGGACAGAGUGAUGAGAAUACCCUGCUCCAAGCUGUUCAGAAUGUGAGAAAUUCCUAGAGAUUAAAUUAAAAAGCGGCUACAUGGCCUGAUUACCAAAAGUCUAAAAUAUAUGAAGUUAAACUGAUGAAAGCUGUGAGCAGAGCCUAGCCAGGGCCUAAGAUACGGAGUGCGAAUUAUGGACAUGACGAUGAAGAAAUAUUUAAGAUUCCUUAUACAGCUAGUAAGUGUAAGAGGAAAGAUUCAGUCAUGCUAGAGUCCAGAAUUCAUGUGAAGUGUUCAGGAAAGGGUAAGUCUUAUUUCUUCUCAGAGGCUGAAACUACCUGUCUGCAUUCCACUUCCUAAGUAGGGAUAUGGCUACGACAAGUUGUAAGCUAUAAGCAAACACAUUGUUUUCAUGUAGUCUCUUUCUGCAUCUUGGGUUUCAUCUGUGCAAACUGAAAGGGCAUAAGAAAAUUUUGUUUAAAAACACUUUAAAUUUCAAUAUUCUAAGUGUUUGUAAAUGCAUUUCCUAAUCUACAAGUAGAAACUCAGUGAUAAAUAUUGAGUAAGUAUUAAAAAAGUAAAACAGUAAAUAUGCUUUUUAAAUAUGCUGUAUUCAUAUGCUUUUGGUGUGGUAAAUAGCUUAACAGGGGAAAAAC
rnacentral:lncRNA from 10 species